rnacentral:misc_RNA from 1 species
UCUCCGCUGGUGAACCAGCGGAGGGAUCAUUACAGGACUCGCAAGACUCCUUCACCCCGUGAACCUCACUACAAGCACGUUGCUUCGGCGGGUGUCCCGGCGGGGGUUUUCCCUCGCCGGGGCGCACAGCCCGCCGGCAGCCUACUAUACUCUGUCUCUUUGCGUUGGCAUCUCGAGAAAAAACAAACAAGUUUAAACUUUCAACAACGGAUCUCUUGGUUCUG